UGCUUCCAUCUGGAAGAAUCUGGAGACAGGUGCUGCAUGGCUGUCGUCAGCUCGUGUCGUGAGAUGUUGGGUUAAGUCCCGCAACGAGCGCAACCCUUGCCUUUAGUUGCCAGCAGUUCGGCUGGGCACUCUAAAGGGACUGCCGGUGUUAAACCGGAGGAAGGUGGGGAUGACGUCAAGUCCUCAUGGCCUUUAUGACCAGGGCUACACACGUACUACAAUGGCCGAUACAAAGGGCAGCGACACUGCGAGGUGAAGCCAAUCCCGUAAAAUCGGUCUCAGUCCGGAUUGGAGUCUGCAACUCGACUCCAUGAAGUUGGAAUCGCUAGUAAUCGUGGAUCAGCAUGCCACGGUGAAUACGUUCCCGGGCCUU
rnacentral:rRNA from 1 species